AGAGUUUGAUCCUGGCUCAGGAUGAACGUUUGCGGUGUGCCUUAUGCAUGCAAGUCGUACGAGAUCAUGGUUUUCGGAUUAUGUUCUAGUGGCGGACGGCUGAGUAACACGCAAGUAACCUACCUGCAAGAGGGGAAUAACCUGCCGAAAGGCAGGCUAAUACCGCAUGAUAUAAACGGGUGAUGCCCGUUUAUUAAAGCCUUACGGCGCUUGCAGAUGGGCUUGUGGCCUAUCAGGUAGUUGGUGGGGUAAAGGCCUACCAAGCCGAUGACGGGUAGCUGGUCUGAGAGGAUGGUCAGCCAGAUGGGGAUUGAGAUACGGCCCCAACUCCUACGGGAGGCAGCAGCAAGGAAUAUUGGGCAAUGGGCGAAAGCCUGACCUAGCGACACCGCGUGAGGGAUGACGGCCUUCGGGUUGUAAACCUCUUUUCUCAAGGAAGAAGUUUGACGGUACUUGAGGAAUAAGCCUCGGCUAACUACGUGCCAGCAGCCGCGGUAAAACGUAGGAGGCGAACGUUAUCCGGAUUUACUGGGCGUAAAGCGGGUGUAGACGGUUUUUUAAGUCAGUUGUGAAAUCUCCUAACUCAAUUGGGAGACUGCAAUUGAUACUGGAGAACUUGAGGGCAUCAGAAGAAAGCAGAAUUCACGGUGUAGCGGUGAAAUGCGUAGAUAUCGUGAGGAAUACCAGUGGCGCAAGCGGCUUUCUAGGAUGCUCCUGACGUUGAGGCCCGAAAGUGUGGGGAGCGAAACGGAUUAGAUACCCGUGUAGUCCACACCCUAAACGUUGAAUACUAGGUAUAGGGGGUAUCGACCCUCUCUGUGCCGAAGCUAACGCUUUAAGUAUUCCGCCUGGGGACUACGGCCACAAGGCUAAAACUCAAAGGAAUUGACGGGGGCCCGCNNGGUGGAGCAUGUGGUUUAAUUCGAUGAUACGCGAGGAACCUUACCAAGACUUAAAUGGGAAUUGACAGGUUUAGAAAUAGAUCUUUCUUCGGACAAUUUUCAAGGUGCUGCAUGGUUGUCGUCAGCUCGUGCCGUGAGGUGUUAGGUUAAGUCCUGCAACGAGCGCAACCCUCGUCGCUAGUUAAUUUCUCUAGCGAUACUGCCCGUAUAACGCGGAGGAAGGUGGGGAUGACGUCAAGUCAGCAUGGCCCUUACAUCCUGGGCUACACACACGCUACAAUGGGUGAUACAACAGGUAGCAAAAGAGCAAUCUGGAGCCAAUCCAAAAAAUCAUCCUCAGUUCGGAUUGCAGGCUGCAACCGCCUGCAUGAAGUUGGAGUUGCUAGUAAACGCAGGUCAGCACACUGCGUUGAAUACGUUCUCGGGCCUUGUACACACCGCCCGUCACGUCAUGGAAGUCGGUAACACCUGAAGUCGAUAGGCUAACCCGCAAGGGAGGCAGUCGCCGAAGGUGGGACCGGUGACUGGGACGAAGUCGUAACAAGGUAGCCGUACGGGAACGUGCGGCUG
rnacentral:rRNA from 1 species